rnacentral:rRNA from 2 species
AAACUAACAAGGAUUCCCUUAGUAACGGCGAGUGAACCGGGAAGAGCUCAAAUUUAAAAUCUGGCUGUCUUCGAUAGUCCGAGUUGUAAUCUAUAGAAGCGUUUUCCGUGCUGAACUGUGUUUAAGUCCCUUGGAACAGGGUAUCAAAGAGGGUGACAAUCCCGUUCUUGACACAAUCAUCAGUGCUCUGUGAUACGUUCUCUACGAGUCGAGUUGUUUGGGAAUGCAGCUCAAAAUGGGUGGUAAAUUCCAUCUAAAGCUAAAUAUUGGCGAGAGACCGAUAGCGAACAAGUACCGUGAGGGAAAGAUGAAAAGCACUUUGGAAAGAGAGUUAAACAGUACGUGAAAUUGUUGAAAGGGAAACGAUUGAAGUCAGUCGUGUUCAUUGGAUUUAUCCUUUGAACGGGUCAACAUCAGUUUUGUCUGGUAGAUAAAGGUAUUAGGAAUGUGACUUCUCCGGAAGUGUUAUAGCCUAGUAUCACAUGUGCUGGAUGAGACUGAGGAAUGCAGCUCGCCUUUUGGCCGGGGUUCGCCCACGUUCGAGCUUAGGAUGUUGACAUAAUGGCUUUAAACGAC